rnacentral:lncRNA from 1 species
AAGUUCUACGGCCCGGGUGAGGAGUUGGAAGGGGAGGGGAAGGACCCCCUGCAGCUGAAGCACAACCCCCUUCGGACAGGGAGGCCUCUGGGCACCGGGCCACGUUUAGGGGCAUGUAAAGUCCCAACCCUCCAGUCUCUGAAGUCCAGACGUAUAAGCAACACCUCGGACUCUCUUUAAACCAGUUUUAGUUCGGAGUUGCUUUCCAUGAUUAACAAGCGGGUCCAUAUGGAAUAUUUGCUGGUAGGGAUGCCUCCAGAGGACUGGCCACAUUUUGCCUAGAUAAAGAUGCACUUAGAGAUGAAUAUGAUGAUCUCUCAGAUUUGAAUGCAGUACAAAUGGAGAGUGUUCGAGAAUGGGAAAUGCAGUUUAAAGAAAAAUAUGAUUAUGUAGGCAGACUCCUAAAACCAGGAGAAGAACCAUCAGAAUA